UUGGCGGCCUUCUAUCUAACCAGAGAAACUCGUAUUUUAAUCCGAUAAUCCGCGUUAAAUUCUCUCUCGAAUUUAUAGUAUUUAUAUCGCCGUCUAAAGAUUUAAUUUAAAUAUUUAAUCAAAAAAGAACCUCCCCACCCCACGUCAGGUCGAGAUAAAGCCAAUACUCGAGCAAUCCGAGUUACACAUAUUAUUCAAAUAAACCCUUAAAAUCAAAAUUUCAAAAAAUUAGGAUUUGAAAGUAAUACGUAUGAUAAUAUCCUACCAUGAAUUUGAAAACAAGGUGUACAUAUCGCCCGUCACCCUCGUCCAAAGAUGAGGUAAGUCGUAACACAGUUAAUAUACUGGAAAGUGUAUUAAGUG
rnacentral:rRNA from 1 species